CCCUAGUAACUGCGAGUGAAGCGGGAUGAGCUCAAAUUUAAAAUCUGGCGGUUCUGCCGUCCGAGUUGUAAUCUGGAGAAGCGUUUUCCGCGUCGGACCGUGUACAAGUCUCUUGGAAUAGAGCGUCAUAGAGGGUGAGAAUCCCGUCCAUGACACGGACUCCCGAUGCUAUGUGAUACGCUCUCAAAGAGUCGAGUUGUUUGGGAAUGCAGCUCAAAAUGGGUGGUAAAUUCCAUCUAAAGCUAAAUAUUGGCGAGAGACCGAUAGCGAACAAGUACCGUGAGGGAAAGAUGAAAAGCACUUUGGAAAGAGAGUUAAACAGUACGUGAAAUUGUUGAAAGGGAAACGCUUGAAGUCAGUCGCGUCGUACGGAGCUCAGCCUUGCUUCUGCUUGGUGUAUUCUCUGCUCGACGGGUCAACAUCGAUUUCGGCCGGUGGAAAAGGGCUCGAGGAAUGUAGCGUUGUUUCGGCGACGUGUUAUAGCCUCGGGUCGUAUGCAUCGGCUGGGAUUGAGGACCGCAGCACGCCUUUUUGGCCGGGGUUCGCCCACGUUCGUGCUUAGGAUGUUGGCAAAAUGGCUUUAAGCGACCCGUCUUGAAACACGGACCAAGGAGUCUAACAUGCCUGCGAGUGUUCGGGUGGAAAACCCUUGCGCGUAAUGAAAGUGAAAGUUGGGAUCCCUCGCAAGGGGGUGCACCGACGCCCGGCCCAGACGUUCUCUGACGGUGCCGCGGUAGAGCAUGUAUGUUGGGACCCGAAAGAUGGUGAACUAUGCCUGAAUAGGGUGAAGCCAGAGGAAACUCUGGUGGAGGCUCGUAGCGAUUCUGACGUGCAAAUCGAUCGUCAAAUUUGGGUAUAGGGGCGAAAGACUAAUCGAACCAUCUGGUAGCUGGUUCCUGCCGAU
rnacentral:rRNA from 1 species